rnacentral:rRNA from 1 species
AACGAACGCUGGCGGCAGGCUUAACACAUGCAAGUCGAGCGCCCCGCAAGGGGAGCGGCAGACGGGUGAGUAACGCGUGGGAAUCUACCCAUCUCUACGGAAUAACGCAUGGAAACGUGUGCUAAUACCGUAUACGUCCUUCGGGAGAAAGAUUUAUCAGAGAUGGAUGAGCCCGCGUUGGAUUAGCUAGUUGGUGGGGUAAAGGCCUACCAAGGCGACGAUCCAUAGCUGGUCUGAGAGGAUGAUCAGCCACACUGGGACUGAGACACGGCCCAGACUCCUACGGGAGGCAGCAGUGGGGAAGAUUGGACAAUGGGCGCAAGCCUGAUCCAGCCAUGCCGCGUGAGUGAUGAAGGCCCUAGGGUUGUAAAGCUCUUUCACCGGUGAAGAUAAUGACGGUAACCGGAGAAGAAGCCCCGGCUAACUUCGUGCCAGCCGCCGCAGUAAAAC